rnacentral:rRNA from 1 species
GAUGAACGCUGGCGGCGUGCCUAAUACAUGCAAGUCGAGCGAACGGACGAGAAGCUUGCUUCUCUGAUGUUAGCGGCGGACGGGUGAGUAACACGUGGAUAACCUACCUAUAAGACUGGGAUAACUUCGGGAAACCGGAGAUAAUACCGGAUAAUAUUUUGAACCGCAUGGUUCAAAAGUGAAAGACGGUCUUGCUGUCACUUAUAGAUGGAUCCGCGCUGCAUUAGCUAGUUGGUAAGGUAACGGCUUACCAAGGCAACGAUGCAUAGCCGACCUGAGAGGGUGAUCGGCCACACUGGAACUGAGACACGGUCCAGACUCCUACGGGAGGCAGCAGUAGGGAAUCUUCCACAAUGGGCGAAAGCCUGACGGAGCAACGCCGCGUGAGUGAUGAAGGUCUUCGGAUCGUAAAACUCUGUUAUUAGGAAAGAACAUAUGUGUAAGUAACUGUGCACAUCUUGACGGUACCUAAUCAGAAAGCCACGGCUAACUACGUG